CCUCCUAAUCCCUCGCUCGCCGCAGCGGGAGGCCUUAAGCUGCCUAUUCAGGCCCUUUCCUCGGCGCGCUCUGGCUCUCGGCGCUUUCAAUGGCUCUCCCUGGCAGGAGACGUGUUGGACAAGUGGAGGGAUCCGUCCCCCGCCAGCAAGGUCAAGAUUGCUACCACAUCUGUUUUUAUUGGUGAGACUUCUGCAUUGUGCCACGAAAGAAAUACAAGCACGUGCAUCGUUGUCAUCUUGUGACAAGUCACCUGGAUUCUGGACUCUCUGCUACGCGCCAUCAAGAUCAAGGGUUGUAUUACCUGAACCAGACAAGAACUGUCUGAAAAAUGAGGCCUCUUGGAUGGAUUUGCCACACUACCAAGUUGCUGUUGCUUUACAGCGAAAUGGAUCAGACCUAUGAUUGAGUGCCAGCAAAAAAAUGAAAGCGGACAGAUUUAGGCCGGAACUAGACACAUCAAAUAAGUGAUUCAGCUAACGCGGCGUUGGAAACUCAUACAGAGAAAUCCGCGGAGUCCCAGGGUCUGAUCUGUCCACCCCUACUGGGAACAUCUGGGUGUUCAGGGGACCUGUUUCCGAAGUCUGGAUAAGAGGUAGCAAAACUGCUGCACAAUAAAAGCGUGUUGUAUGCUGCUUGCCUCCGCUUAUGAUCUACUUAUAAAUAAACCAAAUAUUACAAACUCAUAACUGUCUGAUGCUCUCUCCUCCAGAGGAAGCCAGACCUGGCUAGCAGUGCACCUUGGAAUUUUUCACCCGUUGGGGAGGCAUGGAACACAAAACAGUACUCAGUGCCGGCCCACU